CCUACGGGGGGCUGCAGUGGGGAAUAUUGCACAAUGGGCGCAAGCCUGAUGCAGCCAUGCCGCGUGUGUGAAGAAGGCCUUCGGGUUGUAAAGCACUUUCAGCGGGGAGGAAGGCGGUGAGGUUAAUAACCUCAUCGAUUGACGUUACCCGCAGAAGAAGCACCGGCUAACUCCGUGCCAGCAGCCGCGGUAAUACGGAGGGUGCAAGCGUUAAUCGGAAUUACUGGGCGUAAAGCGCACGCAGGCGAUCUGUCAAGUCGGAUGUGAAAUCCCCGGGCUCAACCUGGGAACUGCAUUCGAAACUGGCAGGCUAGAGUCUUGUAGAGGGGGGUAGAAUUCCAGGUGUAGCGGUGAAAUGCGUAGAGAUCUGGAGGAAUACCGGUGGCGAAGGCGGCCCCCUGGACAAAGACUGACGCUCAGGUGCGAAAGCGUGGGGAGCAAACAGGAUUAGAUACCCGAGUAGUC
rnacentral:rRNA from 1 species